ACAUGAAUCAUGGGAGGAUCUUGUUAGAAUGCAGAUUCGGGUUCAGUAGGACUGAUGUGGAGACCAAGGUUCUGCAUUUCUAAUAAGCCUCCAGGAGAUGCUGAC
rnacentral:pre_miRNA from 1 species